CGCGGGAUAGAGCAAUGGCAGCUCGUCAGGUUCAUGCCCUGAAGGUUAUAGGUUCAAGUCCUGUUCCCGCAA
rnacentral:tRNA from 1 species